GAGGGUGAUGCUUAUAUGCUAAAUGAAGAUGAAGUGUUUCAAUUUUAUUGUGAGGCAUGCCAGGCAAGGUCAACUCAAAAUAAAGGAACAAAAUUAAAUUCUUCAGAUUACAUAAAGCAAGAAAGGGACUAGCCUAAACAAAGGUUUUUUAUUGUAAUGUGAAAGAGAGAUGGGAGAUGGGAAGACAAAGUUGGACCUUAUCUAGCCUUUAUUGCAAGCCAUUGAUGGAACACCUACAGACUGUGCACAGAGAAGAUUAGUGUUACACUCAGUUUCAAAGUAUGAAGAUACACCUACUCUUUUGCAGUGGGAAAGCAGACCAAG